rnacentral:misc_RNA from 1 species
GAUGAAGAACGUAGCGAAAUGCGAUAAGUAAUGUGAAUUGCAGAAUUCAGUGAAUCAUCGAAUCUUUGAACGCGCAUUGCGACCGCCAGUAUUCUGGCGGGCAUGCCUGUUCGAGCGUCAUUUCAACCAUCAAGCCCCAGGCUUGUGUUGGGGACCUGCGGCUGCCGCAGGCCCUGAAAACCAGUGGCGGGCUCGCUGUCACACCGGGCGUAGUAGAUUUUAUCUCGCUCUGGGCGUGCUGCGGGUUCCGGCCGUUAAAAAGCCUUUUUUACCCAAGGUUGACCUCGGAUCAGGUAGGAAUACCCGCUGAACUUAAGCAUAUCAAUAAGCGGAGGA